rnacentral:rRNA from 1 species
CAGGACUUGACAUCCCUCUGAAACUCCUGAUAACGAUGGAGCCUCCUUCGGGACAGAGGUGACAGGUGGUGCAUGGUUGUCGUCAGCUCGUGUCGUGAGAUGUUGGGUUAAGUCCCGCAACGAGCGCAACCCUUGCUGUUAGUUGCCAUCAUUAAGUUGGGCACUCUAACGGGACUGCCGGGGAUAACUCGGAGGAAGGUGGGGAUGACGUCAAAUCAUCAUGCCCUUUAUGUUUUGGGCUACACACGUGCUCCAAUGGUCGGUACAAAGAGCAGCAAGACCGUGAGGUGGAGCAAAUCUCAAAAACCGAUCCCAGUUCGGAUUGUAGGCUGCAACUCGCCUACAUGAAGUUGGAGUUGCUAGUAAUCGCGAUCAGAAUGCCGCGGUGAAUGCGUUCCC